rnacentral:rRNA from 1 species
CCCUCAGAUGUUCUGGGCCGCACGCGUGCUACACUGAGUGGAUCAGCGGGUCAGGUUGCGCGAAAGUGUUUCCUAAUCUUGAAAUCCGCUCGUGAUGGGGAUUGACGGUUGCAAUUUUCCGUCAUGAACGAGGAAUACCUUGUAAGCGCGGGUCAUCAUCCCGCGCUGAAUACGUCCCUGCCCUUUGUACACACCGCCCGUCGCUCCUACCGAUUGAGUGGUCCGGUGAGGCUUUGGGAUCUGAGCAAAGAGAGCGUUUCGCUCGUUUUGCCCGGAAAACUCAGUCGAACCUUAUCAUUUAGAGGAAGGAGAAGUCGUAACA